CCUACGGGAGACAGCAGUGGGGAAUAUUGCGCAAUGGGCGAAAGCCUGACGCAGCGACGCCGCGUGAGGGAUGAAGGUCUUCGGAUCGUAAACCUCUGUCAGCAGGGAAGAACGGUCACUGUGCUAAUCAGCAGUGCAUUGACGGUACCUGCAAAGGAAGCACCGGCUAACUCCGUGCCAGCAGCCGCGGUAAUACGGAGGGUGCGAGCGUUAAUCGGAAUUACUGGGCGUAAAGCGCUCGUAGGCGGUAUGUCAAGUCAAGGGUGAAAUCCCCGGGCUCAACGUGGGCACUGCCUUUGAAACUGGCAAACUGGAGUGUGGGAGAGGAGAGGGGAAUGCCAGGUGGAGGGGUGAAAUGCGUAGGUAUCUGGAGGAACAUCAGGGGCGAAGGCGACU
rnacentral:rRNA from 1 species